GACGAACGCUGGCGGCGUGCCUAAUACAUGCAAGUUGAGCGCUGAAGGUUGGUACUUGUACCAACUGGAUGAGCAGCGAACGGGUGAGUAACGCGUGGGGAAUCUGCCUUUGAGCGGGGGACAACAUUUGGAAACGAAUGCUAAUACCGCAUAAAAACUUUAAACACAAGUUUUAAGUUUGAAAGAUGCAAUUGCAUCACUCAAAGAUGAUCCCGCGUUGUAUUAGCUAGUUGGUGAGGUAAAGGCUCACCAAGGCGAUGAUACAUAGCCGACCUGAGAGGGUGAUCGGCCACAAUGGGACUGGGACACCGCCCAAACUCCUAAGGGGAGCCGCAGUAGGGAAUCUUCGGCAAUGGAGGAAAGUCUGAACGGGCAAAGCCGCGUGAGUGAAGGAGGUUUUCGGAUCGGAAAACUCUGUUGGUAGAGAAGAACGUUGGUGAGAGUGGAAAGCUCAUCAAGUGACGGUAACUACCCAGAAAGGGACGGCUAACUACGUG
rnacentral:rRNA from 1 species